GUAAAUCAAUAUAAUCAUAUUUCGAACUCCGCGGAUUGUCCGAAAGGACGACGUCUGUCUGUCUGUCUGUCUGCAUCGCGUAGUCAGUAGUUAUUAUGCUUCGACGAGGUCGGCCGGCUCGACGCUGGCGAGCUCGCUAUUGAAAUAAAGCGAAUUCGCCGGCAGUCCGGUAAACGACGACGUUACUUCGGGUACCUGGGAGAAGAGGUAAUAACUAACUACCUCUCUCCGCGGAAGGACGCGGCGGCUAUUCGUUAGCCUCCUCGUCCUCCGAGGUAUUGAAAGAUUUUCGCCCGACCGUCGAGGAAGCAGACGACGUGCCUCUCGCUCGACAUCCCAUAACGAGGGGCGAAAGGAGACUCGCGUCUUCGCCGCUAGCACACCGCGUCUGUACGUGACCACGUGUAGUAGUGCGUUAUAAAGCGGCGAAACUCGACGAACGUCUCACUCUCCCCUUUUUUCGAUUUCAAACACUUGCCACCUUUCGAUAUGUGAACGUCGCAAGAGAGACGCUUACGCGCCUCCUCGUGCCACGUCAAAAUCUUUAACGAUUACCCUGAACGGUGAAUCAC
rnacentral:misc_RNA from 1 species